rnacentral:rRNA from 1 species
UUGAACGCUGGCGGCAUGCCUUACACAUGCAAGUCGAACGGUAACGGGCCUUCGGGUGCCGACGAGUGGCGAACGGGUGAGUAAUACAUCGGAACGUGCCCGAUCGUGGGGGAUAACGAGGCGAAAGCUUUGCUAAUACCGCAUACGAUCUACGGAUGAAAGCAGGGGACCGCAAGGCCUUGCGCGGACGGAGCGGCCGAUGGCAGAUUAGGUAGUUGGUGGGAUAAAAGCUUACCAAGCCGACGAUCUGUAGCUGGUCUGAGAGGAUGAUCAGCCACACUGGGACUGAGACACGGCCCAGACUCCUACGGGAGGCAGCAGUGGGGAAUUUUGGACAAUGGGCGCAAGCCUGAUCCAGCCAUGCCGCGUGCAGGAUGAAGGCCUUCGGGUUGUAAACUGCUUUUGUACGGAACGAAAAGCCUUCUUUUAAUACAGGAGGGUCAUGACGGUACCGUAAGAAUAAGCACCGGCUAACUACGU